UAUCCCAGUCUGGGCACUGGACAGGCCUGCAACCCAGAACUGCUAACAGGCAUAGCAAAUACACAUACACAUACACCUGCCCCCCACCCACCCACCCACACACACCACACAAGAAAAGCCUGCUCUCUGGCCAAGUAUCUAAAAAAAAAAGUAAGCUCUACCUAGAUCUGGCAGAGAGACCCAUCCACUAAUCCAUACUGAGUGCCAGCAACAGCACCAGUGAGUGGGGCCGACUGACUCAUCUACCACCCAGAACACAUCUGGUAACAGCAGACCUGGUCUGAUUGUACUUCAGCUCCAACAGAUCCAGGAUCUCCUGGUUUUCCUUCACCCUGCAGCAGAAGGUAGACUAGGGUCAGGAACUCCUGAUCUCAUCUAUUUGCAGAAGGCUGUCCAGUGCCACAGAUCUUUCUGAGGAAGUACUACCAUAUGACUUCACCUUCUCAGGCUGAGGUAUCAGCUUGACUGUCACUCCACAGAUCAAGACUAGAGGUAAAUGUAAACACUAUACAGGUGGGAUGAGAAACAGCUGUUCAGCUGCCUGGCUAGAAGAACAGGCCCAGUUCUUUGCUACAGGAUGGACAUGGAAAAGUUCAGGCAUUUGAAGUUACUGGCGUCAGCCACAUGAGAUUGAUGACGGGAUUGGCUUCUACAAGAGGUCCAUGUGGUUCUCAUUUCUGAAAACAGAUGUUUGGAAACCAAUGUUUUCAAAGAUAAUAUGAAACUACACCAAUAUGCUGCACUAUGGAGAAAAACUAACCUUGACAGAAGAAAAAAGAUUUUCUUGAGGCAGAAGAUGAAGGACUAUUGGUCGGGACAUUCACAGAAGUCUGUUCUGUAAGUUGGGUUAUAUGGAAGCAGAGAUGCUAGGUCAACCCAUGUUGUGCCCUCCCUCUUUUGGUAAGCAAAACACUGAUGCUUAUGACAUCUUCCUUUUCUUUGGUGGUGGCCUUGAAAAUUGUUAUUCCUUCCAGAAAGGGCUGGAUGUCACUCGCUUAUGAAUUUGAAUCCUUCUCUUUUUGCCAAAUGAUAGAACUGAGCUUGCUCCAUGAGCUUCAUGUGUGUAAACAUUAGUGGGGAUCCAAGUGGCUCUGCAGGUAGAAUAGACACUCAGGUCCCUCCUGCCCAAGUCCAGGGGCUUGCUUCCAUGAAUCCAAUCCUUUAGUUCAUAUCAGUUCAUGGUGUACCAGAAGCCUCAACACAUCUGCAAAUUUUUACAGAACAUGUUUGUGCAAGGAAAUAAAUUAGGUCACCAGGCCUUCAAAGGCUCCUUCCACUUAGGGGUGGUGGAGCCCAUGAAGCUGAGAAUCACCCUUGCCAGCUGUUGGAACUUGAAAUAAUCCUCCAAAAACCUCUUGCUAUUUUAGGAGGGUCAUCCUGGUGGGUCUGUGUAUGCUGUAAAAGAGUGGCUCACUAUUUAACCACCCAUCUCUACUGUGCUGAUUUAGGGACCACGAUCACUUGAGCUUUUCUUGGUGCCUGGGAUCUGUCUUUCUGCACAGGGAUAAUCUAGGCUUAUUUGUGGCUUUUUUCCCCUGCAUUUCCUUUACUUGCUCACUUUCCUUCUUUUCCUCACUAUGUUUCCAUUUGAAAUCAGUUUUCACAUAUGCAUUUCAGUGCAACUCUACCUUCAGGAACUUACUGGAUUACACAGGAAAUUCCUUAUAGUGUGUGACCAUCUGCACUGCAAACAAUUUUCAGGGAAUUGACUAGCUACUAAUACCACUUACAAAAAAUCUAAUAAGGGGUUUAACAUUUUCAUAAGGAAAAUUAAUAUUUAUAUUUUCUGUUUUGGUUGGGUUACAUUUUUACUAUUUUGAGAAAAAAAGUAUUGCAUUUUUAAAAAGUGAACAAAAAAAGCUCUCAUACAAUUGAAUGGUAUUGCCAAAAGAAAUUAAGAAGUCAGAAUUUGAUGAUUCAAUAUAUUAUAAAUAUAUUUUUGACCAUAGUCCUAAACUAUCAUCUGUCAAGUUGUAUUAUUUUGAGUACAUAAGUAUUUUUCAUGUUCUUAUUUGUUUUCUAUAAUGCCUCAUAACAUAUAUAGCUCUGUGAGUCUGUUCUUUCAGAAGAUCUUAUCUCUUGUUAGUUUUCAAGGAUUUCCAGGUUCACAGCAGCUGACUUUUUACUACACAUUUUAUGACUCUAAAACCAUUAGAAGAACAUCAAUGCUUCCCUAAAUUGGUUUUUUGGAGAAAAUGUAAUAUGUUUGAUGAAUUCAAAUAAAAAGAUGGAAACAUAACAGCAUAUUGGAUUACUUGUUAAUUUUUCUUUCUCAAAUGUUUUAUAUUGAAAGGAAUUGAUUUGUGGAGUACAUUUUCAAACCAAUUUCACCUUCGUUUCUAGAAAAACUACAUUUUGUCCUAGAAAGCUAUCGACAUUUCAUCAGAGGAAAUAGAUUCAGAAUUGCUGCCCAGUAAAAUCUUUUUUAGCGAUAGUUCUCUAUCUUUCACCAAAGACAAUGCAAUUGACCUUGGGUUGGAGGAUAAAAAGCUGCCAUUAUCAAGUGACAGAAUAACUGGUUGUCUUCCUCUGCUAGGUUUUUGGCAUCACAGAGUUCUCUGAGUCAAGCUUUCACAUAGAGAAAUAACUAAUCCAAUAACUAUAACAACUUAAAUUAUACAAUUACUUUAUCUUUGUCAAUUUAAACUGGUGAGUUUAUCAAAAACAAAAACGGAACUUCAAACACAUUUAGAGAUCAUAAGCAUAAGUGAAAUAAGACUUAAAGGUAUCUUACCAUCUAAAAUCAUCACAAGUCAAUUUCAUAUACCUUAAGAUGUUUAUCUCUGUGCCCUGCCUCAUUUCAGAACAGGAGGCCAGAAUCCAUUCAAAUUAAAAUAGUUUCAAAUAGCAAUUCAAAAACAAACCCAUUAAUUGUCUCUUUCCAAAUGAUUAUUAGAAAUGAGCUUCUUAAAUAGAAAAAAAAUCUAAACUCUAAAGCAAUCAUUUAAUUCCUUCAGAAAGAGAAAUUAUUGUUUUAAAUGCAAUUAUUUUCAUCAUCACAUUAUAUAAAAUAAUAAGGAUCAUGCAAGUACCUUGAAAGUUUUCUGUUUUUAAUAAAAAUGUAUGGAUGUAAGAUAAUCUUAUAGGAAAAUUCACAAUAACAGAAAUAAAUGAAAAGAAACUAUUAGAAGCAGAGGGUGUAAUGUAUUUUUAUUUAUUUUUUGGAGGCUGUUGAGUUUAGCCAGAUUUAAGGACUGUCCCCAGCAUUAAAGAUAGAAAUGAGCCCUGGUUCUCAUCUUUACUCAGUCAUUAAUCAGAUGUAUUAUCAUGGAAACGCCACUUAUUCCUCUGAAUCUUUUUCAUUUAUACAAUGGGAGAGUUGAACUAUAUUUUUUCCCAAAGAUCUUUCUAGUUGUAAUUAUACUAGUACCUAUUUUAUUUGUGUCAUAUAAUUUCCGUUGAAAGUUUUAAGUUUAUUUUAUCUUAAAAAUUGAUACCAUUUGAGUCACUACUUAAAACAUAUCUGAAAUUAAUAUUGAUAGUUGAUAUUGUUUGGCUGUGUUCCCACCCAAAUCUCAUCCCAAAUUGUAGCUCCCAUAAUCAUCACAUGUCAUGGGAGGGACCCAGUGGGAGGUAAUUGAAUCAUGGAUGUGGGUUUUUCCCAUACUGUUCUCAUGAUAGUGAAUAACUGUCAUGAGAUCUGAUGCUUUUAUAAAGGGCAAUUCCCCUGCAUACAUUUUCUUGCCUGCCACCAUGUAGGAUGAGCCUUUCCUCCUCCUUCAUCUUCUGCCAUGAUUGUGAAUCCUUCCCAGCCAUGUAGAACUGUGAGUCCAUUAAACCUCUUUCCUUUAUGAGUUACCCAUUCUCACGUAUGUCCUUAUAGCAGUCUGAGAACAGAUUAAUAAAAUAUUUGCUUUAGCAUCUUCACCAUACAUCUAGGACUUCACUGAUGCUUGUAGCAGGCAGUUAGAGGUGGCAGCAUUUUGAAACUCAACCUUGUGUCUAUUUUCCACUCACGGAGAUGUCUUAGCGUAUUACAAUAGGCAGAAAAAAAAAGUGACCUGUUGAUUUUAGUCCUGUGAGACCCAUUUGGGGCUUCUUACCUGAAAAACUCUAAGAUAAUAUUUAUUUUGCUUAAGCCCAUAUGUUUAUGGUAAUUUUUAUAGCAGCAAAACAAAUUGAUAGGUAUACUUUCACCUCUAGUUCUUUUUUUGUUGUUGUUCUCACCUGGAGUCAAUAAAAUGAAAAGUAAUGAAGCUUACAGCAAAUUUCACUUUGUGAUAGCUAAGUUUGUUAAAACAUAGUAUUUAUUUUAGAGAUCUAAGUGAAUGCCAAUAGAAAUAUUUGAAGAAUUUAAGAAAAAAAUUGAAACAAAUAGAUGCAAAUCCAUUAUCACUUCUGAAAAAAUAAUUAAAUAUGCAAAAUGAGUAAAUACUAUUAUGAUUAUAUACAUUCUUGGAACCACAUUUAUCCACCAACCUGCGUUUGUAUUAAUCUACUGUGCCCUCUCUCCUAUUUCUAUAGAAAAUCUGCUAUGAUUAUUUAGUUUCUAUGUUGAAUUUCAUCUCCUCUCAUCUCCUAAUUUACAUGUGAACAGAAAAUGGAUGUAUUUUCAAAGUUUAGUGUCUAAAAUUUGCUGGUUAUCUAAAUGUGCAAUAAAUCACAUAUUAAUCUGAAGUUUUAUUUUUGGUUUUGGACUCAUGAAUUGGAAGGUUGGAGUUAUUGUGUUUAUUGUGUUUGUAUGGGUAGUAGAAGAGGAUUUAGAAGGAAAGAUCAGGAGUUCCAACAUCAAUAUUUUAAGGUUGAAAUGCCUAGUAGACACCUCCAUAAAAUGUUUCUAAGUAGUUAUAGUCAUCUACCAUUUAGAAAAACGGACAUAUAAAUACUACCUGUAUGACUCUGAGCACACAGGUAGUAUUUUAAGCUAUGGGGCAUGAUAAGAUUACUCAAGUAGUAAGCACAGUAAGAAAAGAAAGGAAUUUCUUGGAUAUGUCAAGGUUGAAAGCUUGGGAAUGAAGAGGAACAGGAAAGGAGGAGAAUGAUUAGCUGAUGAAGCAGUGGAAAUUCUAAGUUAAUGAACCGUUUCAAAGGUAAUGUAGUUAUCAACUUGC
rnacentral:lncRNA from 10 species